rnacentral:rRNA from 1 species
GGCUGAAAUUCGCCUUCAUGAAGCUGGAAUUGCUAGUAAUGGCAGGUCAGCAUACUGCCGUGAAUACGUUCCCGGGCCUUGUACACACCGCCCGUCACACCAUGAGAGUUGGAAAUACCCGAAGCCUGUGAGCUAACAGUAAUGAGGCAGCAGUCGAAGGUAGAGCCAAUGAUUGGGGUGAAGUCGUAACAAGGUAGC